rnacentral:rRNA from 1 species
AUUGAACGCUGGCGGCAUGCCUUACACAUGCAAGUCGAACGGUAACGCGGGGCAACCUGGCGACGAGUGGCGAACGGGUGAGUAAUGCAUCGGAACGUGCCCGGUAGUGGGGGAUAACUGCUCGAAAGAGCAGCUAAUACCGCAUACGACCUGAGGGUGAAAGGGGGGGAUCGCAAGACCUCUCGCUAUCGGAGCGGCCGAUGUCGGAUUAGCUAGUUGGUGGGGUAAAGGCCUACCAAGGCGACGAUCCGUAGCUGGUCUGAGAGGACGACCAGCCACACUGGGACUGAGACACGGCCCAGACUCCUACGGGAGGCAGCAGUGGGGAAUUUUGGACAAUGGACGCAAGUCUGAUCCAGCCAUGCCGCGUGCGGGAUGAAGGCCUUCGGGUUGUAGACCGCUUUUGUCAGGGAAGAAAUCUUCUGAGUUAAUACCUCGGGAGGAUGACGGUACCUGAAGAAUAAGCACCGGCUAACUACGUGCCAGCAGCCGCAGUAAGAC